ACCUAGACGACAAGCGAAAUUCCAGACAAAUUAUGUUUUGAUUAAUCCAAAUAUCUGUUUGUUUGAACAAUAACCUCGAAAAUGAUAAAUUUGAUUGUUUCGGGUUACUUUUAGAAACGGAAUUAGUGAAUUUGUGAUAAAGACGUGUUCUUGAUUUCUAAAAUUACGGUUUCUUUGAUGUUAUUUAAUGGCCAAUUGUGGGGCCGAUGAGGAGCCAAGUUUCUUGAUCUGUCGUGGGUUACAACAAAAUCGGGUUGAGUUAGUGGAGUUGUGUUGGUCUCGGAAUCUGAAUACAUUGCUGCUCCUAAAUUUUGAUCAUAUUUAAGUUCUUGCAUUAAAAUAUGAUGCAUACCCUUCUGGUUUAUUCAAAUAAACCAGAAGGGUAUUCAGUCUGUAUAAUGUAACCGGAAGAAGUUAAAGAUGUGAUUUCCAUAUUAUUAGCUUAGUUAUGGACAGUAAAUGUGCGUCAGACCAAAAAAAUAUCUGUUUUUGUUUCUUUGAGUAAAAUAGGACAAGGGCAUUUAAAAUAUGCAAGCUGAUGAACUAGACGAAACCAGUACUCUGUCUACCUAGAAUUAGCUAGUUCCUCUAUACAUUCGCAAGACAGUUCAUUAUCUGGCUAAUUUCCAAGCUGCUGUAUGUUUUUGCCUAUGACAGCCCCAAAGUCUCGACUGUUGCAUCAAAAUUAAACACUUUGUGGAUAUAGCUCUUUUGCAGCCAAUGUAUGGCAACUAUUCUUGUAAAAGUUGGGCAUCCGAAAGCAAGCAUGAUUUUCCUCUUCUAAUCAAUAAUUUAUAAGUUCCUAUUUAGGAGCUGAAACAGUGAUGGGGAUAUCAGAGCCCUUCAUCCAGAUGAUCCUGAGCCUCCGGAUUGAGCCAGACUCGUUUAUUUGCAUAUUUAUUUUAUUUUUAUUUCUGGGCUUGUUUGCAUUUUAGGGCUUAUUUGUGUUAUUUGUGGGCUUAUUAGGAGUUAUUUUUGUGUAAGGGGAUUUUAUGUUAAUUGUGUUUAUUUGGCCCUAUAUAUAGGGGACUACUUUCAUGAUUAGGAUUUUAAUGAAUGAAUGAAUGAUUAAGAAUUUCUUUUUCCCCACAUCUUAUUCUUCUUCUUCCUCCUCCUCCCCUUCUCUUCUUCCUGCGUCCCUAGAACCUCUUCUUCCUUCUUCCUCUCUUGUUCUUCCUUCUUCUCCUCUUUUCCCGCACUUAUGCGGCAUCAACUUGGUAUCAGAGCAUUGGCGGGUUUUGCCUCUGUUGCCAAAGCCCCGAUCCGGUUUAUGCUGGUCGUCGGCCUUGCCCCUGCCAAAGCGCGAAUCCCACCAACAACUAGGACAGGGUCCUCCCUCCACCAGUGCUGCUCACCAGAAAAAUAUUCCCUCGCUCUCUCGGUUUUCACGGGAAGAACAGAGGGGAACCAACCCUCGGUUUCAAAACAGAAAAAAAAAAAAAAAGGACAGCCCCUUCGUGAUUGGCCUUCCCUGUCACUGUGCCCACACCCACCGCCACCUCCCCUCACGACGCCGCCGUGCCACUGGGUCGCCGCCGGAGAAUAUCGCGCCCCACGGAAACCCACCGUGCCACGAGUUCCACGGUUCUGCCACCGUCGGUCCCGUGACUGAUCGUCGGAAGAAGUCACCGCCCGCCGGAAACCCAUGGUCGACUACCCCGGCGCCACCGUCCACGGAGCUGCAACCGGGCCUCUGCCUCUGUCCCGCAACCACCGCCGUGAAGACCACGGAGUUACACCGAGUCCGUUGGCGGUUGAAGACAGACUUUAUUAACGGGUAAGAUCCAAACCCGUUAACCCGCUAGCCCGGCUCCGCUUUAAAAAAAGAGAGAGAGAGAGAGAGAGAGAGAGAGACGCAUGUGAUCUGCGUGUGCUUCCCUUGCACGUGAAUCACACGUGCUUGCCACAAAAUCCUUGCACGUGAGUCACACGUGCUUGCCAAAAAAAAAAAAAAAAAAAAAAAAAAAAAACCUAGAAUCACGUGACCUGCACGUGUCUUUAAAAAAAAAAAAACUUACUUCUGUUCCUGCCGAAGGGAAACCCUAGGGGUUUCCACCGCCGUCGCCAUCGACGCCAUCUACGCCGAGCCGCCGCUCGUCCACGGUGUUUCCCCACCGCCUGCGCCUCGCCGCCGACGAACACCGCCGCCGAGCAUCCCACCCAAGCUCCUCCGCCCGUGCCGCUCUGCCUUCGCCGCCUCCGCCUGUGUCGCUUCCCCGCCACCGCCUACGCCGCCGCCACCUUGCCAUCUCCACUGCCAUGCGCCGUCGCUGCCCUUGUGCCCUCCCUACCGAUCCGCGCCGCCUGCGCACGACUCGCCGCGUCGUCACUGAAGCCGAGCUCCGCCUCCUCUUUCGAGUCGCCACCGCUGGAAGAUCGCCGCCUCCAUCCUCCGAGCGCCGCCUCCAUCAAGCGCCCCUUCGGCCGUUGCCUUCCCCACCGAGCGCCUCCUUCGUGCGCCUUCUUCCCACAACGCCGCUCCACCGUCGCUGCGUCGCGUCACUGCCAAGUCGCUGCCGUCCGCGCCCACCUCAAGACCCCCAUCGCCGCCUUGGCUCCCCGAGCACCACCCUCCACCACCUGUCUUCCGCGCUGCUUCGUCGCCUGAGACGCCGCCCACCUGCGGCCGAGCACCUCCAUCCCGCGGCCGCCGUCCUGCUGUUAUUCCCCUUCCCUUUGCCACGGGACACACCCAAGACCCUCAACCCAUUUCACCCUCCCACUACUGUAGUUACACUCACCCGAGCCCCAUCAGACCUCAGCCCACCUGUGGCCCAGCUAACUCAUCAGGCCCGAGCCAUGCCCCUGAGGCCCAUCAUCAGACCCAUCGAAUUUUUUUGAUCAGGCUCCCAAAUUGCUGCUAUCAGGUCCACCGAGUUGCUGUGAUUCGAUCAGAUUCGUGCCAUCUGACGAGCCGACUUGUCGCUCCUGAUCGUCGCCCCAGCCCUCGAGCGCACCAUUCCUGUUUCCCGACAGGUGAUAGAUUUCUACUUUUCUUGGACUUGUUCAUUUAAUUAUGUUCUAGUUCUCUUGCAUGAUAGCCAUAUUUUAAAACUUACUUUUGCUGUCCAAAUUCAGAACAUAGAAACCCUACUUUCAAA